rnacentral:tRNA from 2 species
GGAGAGGUGGCCGAGUGGUUGAAGGCAGCGGUCUUGAAAACCGCCGUACCCGCGAGGGUACCGUGGGUUCGAAUCCCACCCUCUCUG